rnacentral:rRNA from 1 species
GCGAACGGGUGAGUAACACGUGGGUAAUCUGCCCUGCACUUCGGGAUAAGCCUGGGAAACUGGGUCUAAUACCGGAUAUGAACUCCUGCCGCAUGGUGGGGGUUGGAAAGUUUUUCGGUGCAGGAUGAGCCCGCGGCCUAUCAGCUUGUUGGUGGGGUAAUGGCCUACCAAGGCGACGACGGGUAGCCGGCCUGAGAGGGUGAUCGGCCACACUGGGACUGAGACACGACCCACUACUCCUACGGGAGGCAGCAGUGGGGAAUAUUGCACAAUGGGCGAAAGCCUGAUGCAGCGGCGCCGCGUGGGGGAUGACGGUCUUCGCAUUGUAAACCCGUUUCAGUAGGGACGAAGCGCAAGUGACGGUACCUGCAGAAGAAGCACCGGCUAACUACGUGCCAGCAGCCGCGGUAAUACGUAGGGUGCGAGCGUUGUCCGGAAUUACUGGGCGUAAAGAGCUCGUAGGCGGUUUGUCACGUCGUCUGUGAAAUCCCUCGGCUUAACCGGGGGCGUGCAGGCGAUACGGGCAGACUUGAGUACUACAGGGGAGACUGGAAUUCCUGGUGUAGCGGUGAAAUGCGCAGAUAUCAGGAGGAACACCGGUGGCGAAGGCGGGUCUCUGGGUAGUAACUGACGCUGAGGAGCGAAAGCAUGGGUAGCGAACAGGAUUAGAUACCCUGGUAGUCCAUGCCGUAAACGGUGGGCGCUAGGUGUGGGGUCCUU